rnacentral:lncRNA from 1 species
ACAACAAGAGGAGCUUCGGCGACGAGAGGAAGAGAUCAAAGCACUUCACCUUCGAUUUGCUGAAUAUGGAGAUAAACAACAAGAGGCGCUUCUGCGACGAGAGGAAGAGAUCCAAGGACUUCACCUUCGAUUUGCUGAAUAUGGAGAUAAACAACAAGAGGCGCUUCUGCGACGAGAGGAAGAGAUCCAAGGACUUCACCUUCGAUUUGCUGAAUAUGGAGAUAAACAACAAGAGGCGCUUCUGCGACGAGAGGAAGAGAUCGAAGCGCUUCACCUUCGAUUUGCUGAAUAUGGACAUAUACAUCAAGAGGCGCUUCUGCGACGAGAGGAAGAGAUCGAAGCGCUUCACCUUCGAUUUGCUGAAUAUGGACAUAAACAUCAAGAGGCGCUUCUGCGACGAGAGGAAGAGAUCGAAGGACUUCACCUUCAAUUUGCUGAAUAUGGACAUAAACAAGAAGAGGAGCGUCGGCGACGAGAGGAAGAGAUCAAAGCAUUUCACCUUCAAUUUGCUGAAUAUGGACAUAAACAACAAGAGGCGCUUCUGCGACGAGAGGAAGAGAUCGAAGCGCUUCACCUUCGAUUUGCUGAAUAUGGACAUAAACAAGAAGAGGAGCGUCGGCGACGAGAGGAAGAGAUCAAAGCAUUUCACCUUCAAUUUGCUGAAUAUGGACAUAAACAACAAGAGGCGCUUCUGCGACGAGAGGAAGAGAUCGAAGGACUUCACCUUCGAUUUGCUGAAUAUGGACAUAAACAUCAAGAGGCGCUUCUGCGACGAGAGGAAGAGAUCCAAGGACUUCACCUUCGAUUUGCUGAAUAUGGACAUAAACAAGAAGAGGAGCGUCGGCGACGAGAGGAAGAGAUCAAAGCACUUCACCUUCAAUUUGCUGAAUAUGGACAUAAACAACAAGAGGCGCUUCUGCGACGAGAGGAAGAGAUCGAAGGACUUCACCUUCGAUUUGCUGAAUAUGGACAUAAACAUCAAGAGGCGCUUCUGCGACGAGAGGAAGAGAUCCAAGGACUUCACCUUCGAUUUGCUGAAUAUGGACAAAAACAAGAAGAGGAGCGUCGGCGACGAGAGGAAGAGAUCAAAGCACUUCACCUUCAAUUUGCUGAAUAUGGACAUAAACAACAAGAGGAGCAUCGGCGACGAGAGGAAGAGAUCCAAGGACUUCACCUUCAAUUUGCUGAAUAUGGACAUAAACAACAAGAGGAGCUUCGGCGACGAGAGGAAGAGAUCCAAGGACUUCAC